rnacentral:rRNA from 1 species
UACGAAGGGGGCAAGCGUUGUUCGGAAUUACUGGGCGUAAAGGGCGCGUAGGCGGCUUAUCAAGUCAGGCGUGAAAUUCCCGGGCUCAACCUGGGGGCUGCGCUUGAUACUGAUUGGCUUGAAUGCGGGAGAGGAUAGUGGAAUUCCCAGUGUAGAGGUGAAAUUCGUAGAUAUUGGGAGGAACACCGGUGGCGAAGGCGGCGACCUGGGUAGAUACUGACGCUGAGGUGCGAAAGCGUGGGGAGCAAACAGG